UGCCUGUUUGUGUGGAGUCUGACAUAAGUCUAGCGAUUGGCAGUCGGUUUCCUGCGUGUGUUUUGUUUGGCGUCCCUAUGUAGCCGAACUACGGCAACUCUGAUUCUCAUGUUCAGAUGAGAUACGUAGGCACAAGAUGCGAUGUCUUGCCGAGUUUGACUAACGACUAACAACUAAUCCUUGUUUGCUUUCGCCUUUGUUGCGAUCCUUUCUCUCGCCCUCGUUGCGAUCGAGACCUUCCCUUUCUCUUGCCCUAGUUGCAAUCG
rnacentral:lncRNA from 1 species